AUUGCCUGGUGGCUCACAUAAAUUCCGAGACUUUGAAACAAAACUUCAAAACCAAAUCGAGCAUCUUUUCGAAGCAGAGAGAAUUCACCUCUCAAACAGUAAAUUUAUACAAAACCAACCUGUGGCGAUUUGGAGUAUAGGGAGUUGAAGAUGGGAAGGAUCAAACCUCAAGAUCUCUUACAACAGAGCAAAAAGAAGAAAGCUCCGAGUCGAAUGAGCGUCACUGCUAUUGUUUCAUACUGCCUCAUUCUUCUCUUGACUUUAUUUUUCUUGUAUUCUACCUAUAGACACUGGUCGCUAAGGUCUGUCAAGUCAUCAGAUUGAUUCUUAAUCCUUUGUGUUGUAAUAAAUUAUGCUUAAUUUUAUAGUUUGGAUGCGCCAAACUAGCUGGAUCUGGAUCUGUAUUUUUUAAAAUAUUUCUCAUUGUGGAGAUGCAAGUUUAUUGUGUGUUGAUUGUCAACU